ACCAAAGCCGGGGACCGCAAGGCCUGGCGCUCAAGGAGGAGCCCGCGUCUGAUUAGCUAGUUGGCGGGGUAAUGGCCCACCAAGGCGACGAUCAGUAGCCGGCCUGAGAGGGCGGACGGCCACACUGGGACUGAGACACGGCCCAGACUCCUACGGGAGGCAGCAGUGGGGAAUUGUUCGCAAUGGGCGCAAGCCUGACGACGCAACGCCGCGUGGAGGAUGAAGGUCUUCGGAUUGUAAACUCCUGUUGAUCGGGACGAAAAGCUCUGACCCAACACGUCAGAGACUGACGGUACCGGUUGAGGAAGCCACGGCUAACUCUGUGCCAGCAGCCGCGGUAAUACAGAGGUGGCAAGCGUUGUUCGGAAUUACUGGGCGUAAAGGGCGCGUAGGCGGCCUUCUAAG
rnacentral:rRNA from 1 species